CUGGUUCCCAGGGUGGCUGGCUGUAAUCACUGGCAUGACUAUUGCAGGUGCACAGGUGGGCAGAGCUGCCCACCCCACCCCCAGCGUGACUGGCUGCAAUGACUGGCAUGACCACUGUGAGCAUGCUGUCAAAGAUGUAUUCUGCCAUUCUUCAGGUCAUUUUCAGGCCAUCUCUUCUUGACUUGCCUCUUCUUCAUCUCGACAUUCCUGUAACUGCCUCAUCUUCUCCAUGAGGGCUUCGACCUCAAAGAAGGAAUCACUUACCUGGAGAGAAAAUAUUAAUGUUGCAUAUGUCAAAGAAUGAAAUUAAAAAAAAUUUUUAUUAAGACA